rnacentral:sRNA from 1 species
GCUGGGCACGGUGGCCCAUGCCUGUAAUCCCAGCACCUCAGGAGGAUGAGGCAGGAGGAUUAUGAGUUUAAAGCCAGCCUCAGAAAGAGAGGUGCUAAACAACUCAGUGAGACCCUGUCUCUA